GUGGGGAAUUUUGGACAAUGGGCGCAAGCCUGAUCCAGCAAUGCCGCGUGCAGGAAGAAGGCCUUCGGGUUGUAAACUGCUUUUGUACGGAACGAAACGGUCCUGGCUAAUAUCCGGGGCUAAUGACGGUACCGUAAGAAUAAGCACCGGCUAACUACGUGCCAGCAGCCGCGGUAAUACGUAGGGUGCGAGCGUUAAUCGGAAUUACUGGGCGUAAAGCGUGCGCAGGCGGUGCUGUAAGACAGGCGUGAAAUCCCCGGGCUCAACCUGGGAACUGCAUUUGUGACUGCAAGGCUAGAGUACGGCAGAGGGGGAUGGAAUUCCGCGUGUAGCAGUGAAAUGCGUAGAUAUGCGGAGGAACACCAAUGGCGAAGGCAAUCCCCUGGGCCUGUACUGACGCUCAUGCACGAAAGCGUGGGGAGCAAACAGGAUUAGAAACCCCUGUAGUCC
rnacentral:rRNA from 1 species